rnacentral:lncRNA from 1 species
AAGAGUUUGCCUGGGUUUUAUUGAUGUCCUGGGCUUGUGACCGGCCGCUGCGAGGGUCAUGAUUCCCACAGGUUUGGCCUUUUGCUCAGAAAGCCGGCCUUGCUCAUGGAAGAUGCCGGAAGACCACUAGUGGGAAACGGAGUUUGAGAGUUCGGGCCUGCCUGUCAGCUGACAGAGAAAGCACGUGGCCCCUGCAGAGAGCAACUGUCACUCAGCCACGGAAGCGCGUGAGGGACUGACCCGCCCCGAGGUGGACGGACCCUGAAAACCCUGUGCUCGGGGAAAGGGCUGGACACGUGGCAGCGUCUGGUUCCGUCUGUAUGAAACGUCCAGAAAAGGUGAACCUGGGCAGACAGGGAGAGCAUCGCCGGGGUUGCUGGGGCGGGGGCCGGGGAGGGGAGAACCGACCGGUAGCAGGGCCUCUUUUUUUCUUCCUGGCGACAAGAUGUCUUGGAACCAGAGGGUAGUGAAGGUUGCACGUCGAUGGGAGGCUGCGAAUGUCACCCAGCCGUCCACUUCAGAAGGGUUCAAUGUCUUUGGUUAAACAUGUACCACAUUUAAUUUUUUUAAAUAAAAAGUCGGCAUUUAUUUAUUUUACUUUAAUAUUUUCCAUCUCGGUCUAUCCCAGAAGAUUGGAUAGAGUUCCCCGGGCUGUACAGCAGGACCUCAUUGCUUAUCUGUUCUAAAUGUAAUAAUUUGCAUCUACUCACCCCAGACUCCCCGUCCGUCCUGCUUCCUCCCCUGCCCCCUGGGCAACCACAAGUCUGCUCUCCAUGUCUGUGAUUGGUUCCUGUUUUGGAGACAGGUUCGUUUGUGCCAUAUUUUAGAUUCCACGCAUGAGUGACAGUAUAUGGUAUUUGUCUUUCUCUUUCUGGCAUAUGGUUAAUUUUAAUUUAAUUUUAAUUUUGGGGGCCACAUCCCCAGCCUAAGCCAGGGAUGGCACCUGUGCCACAGCAGCAAGUUGAGCCUCUACAGUGACACCACCAGACCCUUAACCCACUGAGCCACAAGAGAACUCUCAGUUAAUUUCACAUUACAUGAAUUUGUACCUAAGCAACACACGCAGGCCUACAGUUAGAGGUUCUGGGUUCCAAUGCUGCCUCCUACCAGGGUCCGGGGAGGGACGGUGCUCAGCUUCUGGAGACUGCGUUUCCUCUUCUGUGCAGUAGGAAGUGUCAACCCUGGCCUCUGGAUGGGUGGGAGGGCCAGGGUGAAUCCCCCCCCCCCGACGGAGCUGCGGCUGGUGGGCUGGUGAGAGGGCAUGACCAGGGCCAGUGGACAGGCCAGCUGAGCACCGGAUCCCACCUGGGUCCAACCCUUGACUUUCUUUCCCAGCAGAGCAGGCGCUGGAACACGUGUCAGGAGAGACGUGAAGAGACUGGUGGAUGUGGCCAUUUGUCCAGGUGUGGUCACUUCUUCAGAUAUGGUCACUUGUCUGGGUACCAUCACUUGUCCAGGUGUCAUCACUUGUCCAGGUCCGGUCACUUGUCCCGGUGCGGUCACUUGUCCAGCUACGGUCACUUGUCCAGGUGUGGUCACUUGUCCAGGUGCGGUCACUUGUCCCAGUGCGGUCACUUGUCCCAGUGUGGUCACUUGUCCAGGUGUCGUCACUUGUCCAAGUCCGGUCACUUGUCCAGGUGCGGUCACUUGUCCAGGUGUGGUCACUUGUCCAGGUCUGGUCACUUGUCCAGGUCCGGUCACUUGUCCGGGUGCGGUCACUUGUCCCGGUGCGGUCACUUGUCCAGGUGUCGUCACUUGUCCAGGUGUGGUCACAUCUUCAGAUACUGUCCCUUGUCUCGGCAGCAGGCAUGUCUGUGUCACGCACCUGAUGAGCCCCUGGAAUGAGCCUCGUUUGCUUUCUGCUCUGUGUCCCCCCCACUCAGCAGUUACUCCAGACCCUUUUGAGCCCCUGCCCAGCGCCUACCUCUCCCUGAGGACAAGUGCACCCACCCCAUGGUUCUGGGCCAGGGGGUGUUCAUGGCCUGUCAGUCUCUGGCGACAGCUAAUCACCCCUUGACGUUGGCCACUCCCCCUGUGGGUCUGGCUUUGGGAUUUGGGGUCCUCCUGGCUUCACUCCAGAGCCUGGGUCUAGUGGCCAGGGUCUCAGCUCGAUUUCUUGGCACAGAUGAAAUGCAGUUGGCACCUUUGUUCUCGGUGGCCAUCCUGCACCCCCGGCACAGGCUCCUUUAGGAAGCAGCUGUUGUGCUGUCCCUCUGUUAGGGUUGAAAGGUGUCCCCCCAAACAGGAUGUUGAGGUCCGAACUCCAGAACCUCACAAUGUGGACGCCUUUGGUGAUAGGGUUGCUGCAGGUACAACUGGUUAAGGCUCGGUCAUCCCGGAGCCGCUAACCCAGCAUGACUGGUGUCCUUUGAAGAAACGGCCGUGUGAGGGUGGGACAGCUAGGGCUGGUGGACGUAGAGGGUGGAGGCACACAGCCACCAGCCAAGGAUCACCAGUGACCCCAGAGGCUGGAAGAAGCAGGACAGACCCUCUGCUACAGGCUGCAUGGCCCAGUCUCUCCCUCGUCACCUGCAUCCCUGUGCCACCAGCUUCCUGACAACCUGGCCUUUCCUGAGGGACGGAGACGAGGGGUCGCAGAGCCAACACGGCUGGGCAAAGUGCCUGGAGAACCAGCUCCUGGCCAGGGGCAGGGAGGACCGACCCUGAUGUCAGCUUGCAGGUCAAACCCCCCUUGGACUGGCCACCUCUGGGAUGGUUAGAGUGAAGGGCUGGGGCAGGGAGGCAGCUCAGCGCGGUUGGCUGGCUCCCCGGGGCAGCUCGGCCAGCAGGAAGGACUAGGUGCCAGGCUCACUCCAUCAAGUGGACACAGCGGUGGGCAGGUCUCAGCUGUGUCUGCUCUCUUGGGAGAACCCAGGUGGCCCCAGGCGAGGCCCUGCCCCCUGCGCCCGACGACCGAGCAGUCCAUUUGAGUGGGGUGACAUGUGCGUCACCCCAAAGCAGCUUGGACUCCCCUGCUCCUGUGCCCACCUGGCCCAUGGGACUGCCCCGCCAGCCAAGGGUCUGACCAUCUGCCUCCACUCAGCAUAUGCCGCUGUUUCAGUCUUUUCUGCCCUUUGCAGUUUCUAUAAAUGAGUGGGAAAUGCGAAAACAAAAGGGCUAAGUACUAGAAGCGCAGCUCUCACAACUUAAAAUAGCCACUCAAUAAAAAUGCAAUUUAAAAAAAGUAGCUGGAGUUGCAGGGGGAGUGGGAGGUCUUCAGCCUUGACCGGCUUUGUCCCUCUGCCCCGCCCCCUGCUUCCGGGGCAGCUCCAUCCCCAGCGGUUUGCACUUGGCCUUCCCCUUGACGCCCACUUUCCUGCACACCCGCAGCUGGCCUGGAGAGCACAACGCAGCACCUCUCACUGCCACUGCCUGCGGGCUUCAGCCUGGGGCGGUUUGCCAGCUUUGCUUCUCCCAGCUUCGAGAACCUGCGUGGUGACAGGUGCCUUCACCCUGCAGCUGUCUUCACGCCGGUCAGAGCCAAGCCCCCAAGCCCCACUCUAGAUGUGUCCCCCUCCCCUGCCACCUGGCCCCUGGCUCACUUCGUCCUUGCCACGUGGGUCCUCUGCUGCCCCUGAGCUUUCCAGAACCAUCCCCAGUAUCUGCAUGACUCCCCCCUCACGUCCCGCAAACCCUUGCUCAGAUGUCACCUUCUCAGUGAGGUCCCUGAUGUGGCGGGGGUUUCCUGACCCGCUUUGCUUUCCCCGGAACCCUGGUGCCCUGUAGCCCCUCCCCCACUGGCUCGCUACACAAGGACCACCCGGACCAAGGCUGCUGUGUUGUUUCUAUCCGUGAUGUCUGGCUCACUAACCAUACAUCCUGGCGGUGGCAGGGGGUCUUUGCUACAGAGCAAUGUUAAAUCGAGGUGAAGCUGUGUGUUUCAUUACUAAACAAAUCAAAGAACAUGCAAAGAGGAUAAAUGCGACAAACCUGAGUGUCCUGUCCGUUUUUGAUGUCUACACCUUUGAACUGUGUUUAUGUGUUCAGGGACCUGGAACACCUGUAGGGCCCCCCACCCCCGGAUUUCCAGAAAUCAGUAAAAAGGAUCAGAAGAUUACACUUUGCUUAAAAAUAAUUUCCCUAUGUCAAUGCUAUUAAAAGAAAAAAAAACCCAAAACAAAAAAAAACCCUCCCAAACUGCCAAAGGACAUUCUGACGGAAAAUAAUCUCAAUCCUGAAAAAAUAUACAGGCUUUAUCUUCACAGUAGCAGUUGGUGAACGUAUCUUAAGACGGGCGGAAACAGAAAAUCUUUUUUUCCUGUUGACACGCAUUUGAACAUAGACACAGGAGCCAGGCAUCUCUACUGCUCAGCCUCCAAGGUGUAAGCCCAGCCCGCAUGCCAGGAAAUGUGGGUUCGAACUGCCUCUCUCGCUGACCUUGCUCCCUCCUGGUCUUGGACGGUGAGCAGAGGGCAGCCUGCAUCCCACGGGCGCUAAGCGGGGCCAGCCUCCCAGCGGCGCAGGUACCGCUGCAUUAGGAGGGACCUGCUCUUGGCCACCACGGUUCCCAGAGCUGCUCACAUGGGCUCCUGUCCCUCCUCCCAGCGUCCAGCUUAGAGGUCGAGGGGAAAUGUUGUACCCGUCAGGUCACAGACAGAUGGUCACAGCUGCCAAGGCAGAUUUUGGGAGGCGAGUUCAAGUCCAUAUGUCAGAAAUGUCUGGGAGGAUGUUGUCAGCUACUGUGUACAUACGGCAUCUCCUCCUGGGAGGGCCGCACACGGUGGCGGCUCCCUGCCUUCUCCAUGGAGAGCCAUGCCUGCUCCAUGUGCAGAUCCACGCCUGCUCCACACCUGUUCUGCACCUGCUUGACACCUGCUCCACACCUGCUCUAUAACUGCUCCAGGCAGAUCUACACCCGCUUCAUGCCUGCUCCACACCAGCGCCAUACAGGUCCAUAACAGCUCGACAUCUGCUCGACACCUGCUCCAGGCAGAACCACACCUGUUCCAGCCCUGCUCCACUGUGUUUAUUUUCUCUGGACUUCUUGAAUUAUGAGCAUCAGAUUCCCUGGCUGGAGGUGAAUUUCUGAUUGUUACCGGAAGCAACUAACACCCUGCCUUUCUUCCACCUACUCAGCUAAUGUGUCACGAUCGCUACCUCGGGAAUGGCCUGCGGAGGGCUUCUAGGCCCCGAGAGCAGGGAUGGUCGGAAACCACACACAGCGGGAGAUGCACAGCGCGGGGUUACGGGAGGCGACACAGGAGAGGGGGCUUCGGGCUGAGCCUGAAAAGACGUUCAGGAGC